rnacentral:rRNA from 1 species
AACGCUGGCGGCAGGCUUAACACAUGCAAGUCGAACGGGUGUAGCAAUACAUCAGUGGCAGACGGGUGAGUAACACGUGGGAACCUUCCUCGUUGUACGGAACAACUCAGGGAAACUUGAGCUAAUACCGUAUACGUCCGAGAGGAGAAAGAUUUAUCGCAAUGAGACGGGCCCGCGUCGGAUUAGCUAGUUGGUGGGGUAACGGCCUACCAAGGCGACGAUCCGUAGCUGAUCUGAGAGGAUGAUCAGCCACACUGGGACUGAGACACGGCCCAGACUCCUACGGGAGGCAGCAGUGGGGAAUCUUGGACAAUGGGCGCAAGCCUGAUCCAGCCAUGCCGCGUGAGUGAAGAAGGCCUUCGGGUUGUAAAGCUCUUUUGUCAGGGACGAUAAUGACGGUACCUGAAGAAUAAGCCCCGGCAAACUUCGUGCCAGCAGCCG